rnacentral:rRNA from 1 species
AGGCGGGUCGAUAAGUCAGUGGUGAAAGCCUGCAGCUUAACUGUAGAACUGCCGUUGAUACUGUCGGUCUUGAGUGUAUUUGAGGUAGCUGGAAUGAGUAGUGUAGCGGUGAAAUGCAUAGAUAUUACUCAGAACACCAAUUGCGAAGGCAGGUUACCAAGUUACAACUGACGCUGAUGGACGAAAGCGUGGGGAGCGAACAGGAUUAGAUACCCUGGUAGUCCACGCUGUAAACGAUGCUAACUCGUUUUUGGGGUACUAUACUUCAGAGACCAAGCGAAAGUGAUAAGUUAGCCACCUGGGGAGUACGAACGCAAGUUUGAAACUCAAAGGAAUUGACGGGGGCCCGCACAAGCGGUGGAUUAUGUGGUUUAAUUCGGUGAUACGCGAGGAACCUUACCAAGACUUAAAUGGGAAUUGACAGCUGUAGAAAUACGGUUUUCUUCGGACAAUUUUCAAGGUGCUGCAUGGUUGUCGUCAGCUCGUGCCGUGAGGUGUUAGGUUAAGUCCUGCAACGAGCGCAACCCCUGUCACUAGUUGCCAUCAUUAAGUUGGGGACUCUAGUGAGACUGCCUACGCAAGUAGAGAGGAAGGUGGGGAUGACGUCAAAUCAUCACGGCCCUUACGUCUUGGGCCACACACGUAAUACAAUGGCCGGUACAGAGGGCAGCUACACUGCGAA